rnacentral:rRNA from 1 species
UAGGGAAUAUUGGGCAAUGGUCGCAAGACUGACCCAGCCAUGCCGCGUGCAGGAAGAAGGGGCUCAGCCUUGUAAACUGCUUUUGUAUGGGAAGAAAACGUUUCUUGCGAGAGGCACUGACGGUACCAUACGAAUCAGCACCGGCUAACUACGUGCCAGCAGCCGCGGUAAUACGUAGGGUGCAAGCGUUGUCCGGAUUUAUUGGGUUUAAAGGGUGCGUAGGCGGGAAAGUAAGUCAGAGGUGAAAGCCGGUAGCUCAACUAUCGGACUGCCUUUGAUACUGCUAUCCUUGAGUAAAGUUGAGGUGGGUGGAAUAUAUAAUGUAGCGGUGAAAUGCAUAGAUAUUAUAUAGAACUCCAAUUGCGAAGGCAGCUCACUAAGCUUUAACUGACGCUGAGGC